rnacentral:rRNA from 1 species
AACGUAGGUGGCAAGCGUUAUCCGGAAUUACUGGGCGUAAAGGGUGUGCAGGCGGGAGAGCAAGUGGUGUAUGAAAUAUCCCAGCUUAACUGGGAGGGGUUAUGCCAGACUGCUUUUCUAGAGGACGAGAGAGGGGGGUGGAAUUCCGGGUGUAGUGGUGAAAUGCGUAGAGAUCCGGAGGAACCCCAGAGGCGAAGGCGGCCCCCUGGCUCGUACCUGACGCUCAGCCACGAAAGCAUGGGGAGCGAACGGG